GCUUGUGUGGCUCAACGGUUAGAGUGUCCUCUCGUUAUGAUCACGAGUAGUGCUACAAGAGGACGGCGCGGGUUCGACUCCCGCCGCGGGCA